GGACCAGUAGCUCAGUUGGUUAGAGCACCGCUCUGAUAAGGCGGGGGUCAGAAGUUCAACUCUUCUCUGGUCCAUCA
rnacentral:tRNA from 1 species